ensembl:lncRNA
UGAUAACAAGAGUUUGAUAUAAUGUUGAGCCGUGCCACACGGAGCAUUUAUCUGCUCGGCUCAAACAAAUACCUGAAACUAUAUAGUUACAUUUUUACCAUGGUAUUGAUGUGCAGUUUAACUGUGGUUAACAUGAUCUAAACGUAUGCUACUAUGGAAGACCAAUGGUUAAUUUAAAUAAAACUCAAUCAGUCAGAAUAAUUAUAUUCAGCCAUAUAAAAAUAAGGUUGUUUUAAUUUUUACAGAUGUUUUGCAUCUGCAUCCGAACUCAAGCUACUGUCAAAUGUGCAUUUCUAAUGUAAUAUUAAUAAUAUUGGAGCCCGCACUGCAAACUGUUUUGGAAACAAUAUCUCUCAUUAGAACAUGCAGAAACUAAGAAAUUAUUUUUUCUAUUAAGAUAUUUAUUUUGUUAAGGAAAAAUGACUGGAAAAGUGUAAAGAAUUCAAAAACGUGAAGUGUUUGUCAUGUUCUGAUCAUAAAGAGUCGUUUAAAACCACAAAAUACAACUGAAAUCUGCCUUUAAACUUGAAAGAAAUAAAGAUUUGAAUUAUAUCAUGAUAAUUAGCAAUAUCAACUGAUAUGAAAAUAUGUGUAUAUAUUUAUAUAAAAUGCUAUAAAUGUUAUAGUUCCCCCAGUAAUAUGGAAUCAUUGAAGCAGCUGUUUUUGGUCAGUGUCGCUGUUGAUUUGUCUGCAUGUGUUGAUGUUUCAGGUGGCCAGAUGGGAGCACAGGACCAGAGGCCUGACCCGUCUGUUUGGAGGUCCAUAUGUGGCCUGUUAUUCCCUCGCUGUGCUCAUCUUGCUCUUCAAUGUUUACCAAAGCCACAGACAUUUGUCUCUGUUAUAUCUUGUUUUUUAAAGAGAUCUGAAGCAACGUGUGUGAUUUCAUGUCCACACUGUCCUCGUCAGUCGCACUGUUACCUAACCUCAGUCUGAAGAAACCAGGAGUUGGAUCUCUAUAGAGCACAGGAGCUUGUCAAGUGCUUCUUGGGCGGAGUCAGUACAUCAUGGGAAAAUGAAGUCUUGGGAGGCAGACUCUCCUUUGAUAUCGUGUUGUGAUCAAUCUCACUGCUGCGCCGAGUCUUUCGCCCUCAUGUCUGUGAAACAUCUCAAAGUGAAGGAAAGGGAAAGCAUUAGGCUGUGACGCACAUGCUCCCAAUGAUCAAUACAAAGCCCUGCUUGAAAAUAAUACGCUUUUCCUUUCUCUUUGUCUAAUUUCUGUCUGGAGAAACUCCUGAGUGUAAUGCUCACGAACACAAUGCAUCAUGGGACAGCGAGCAGUCGAUAUUCGCUUUCCUCUGAUCAUCCACCAAUCAUUAGCUCUCGUGCUCAGGGUUUGAAGAUGCUUGUGCUUGCUGACCUACAAAGUGUCCAUCCUGUUCGUUUUGUUGUUGUUGUUGUUUUUUUAAUGUUCCUACUUAGAAACUGGAGUUUAAAGGCAUUUUUCUUUGCAUUUAUUUUAUUUUUAUGUUCCAUUUCUCAGGCUACGUUUUAUACUGUUAAUAUUCGUUUAUUAUUAUUAUUUUUUUUUACAUUCAUAUGAUUUACAUGAAAUGUUUUUUCUAAGUUCAACAGCAAACAGAACCAGUAAGGAAUUAUAGACAUAUACACACACCUAAUAAAAAAAUAGAACAUAAUAAAUAUAAUAAAUAAUGUGUGAAUAAAAUAAAAAUGAUUAAUUUUUUUAGAAAUUAGGUUUUUGUAAACAAAUAUACAAAACUAUACAAAGAUAUAUAAAACUAAAUAUUGAGUUAUAAAAUAUUGC